UACGGAGGGUGCUAGCGUUGUUCGGAAUCACUGGGCGUAAAGGGCGUGUAGGCGGCCUGCUAAGUCUGAUGUGAAAUCCCCUCGCUCAACGAGGGAACUGCGUCGGAUACUGGCAGACUCGAGUACCGGAGAGGAAGGUGGAAUUCCCGGUGUAGCGGUGAAAUGCGCAGAUAUCAGGAGGAACACCGAUGGCGAAGGCAGGUCUCUGGGCCGAUACUGACGCUGAGGAGCGAAAGCGUGGGGAGCGAACAGG
rnacentral:rRNA from 1 species